rnacentral:snRNA from 1 species
GUGGUUUUGGCAGCAUAUAUACUAGAAUUUGAACAAUACAGAGAAGAUUAGCACAGCACCUGCACAAG